UGGCGGCAGGCUUAACACAUGCAAGUCGAGCGGUAACAGAGAGUAGCUUGCUACUUUGCUGACGAGCGGCGGACGGGUGAGUAACGCGUAGAAAUCUGCCUGGUAGUGGGGGAUAGCCCAGAGAAAUUUGGAUUAAUACCGCAUACGCCCUACGGGGGAAAGCAGGGGACCUUCGGGCCUUGCGCUAUCAGAUGAGUCUGCGUCGGAUUAGCUUGUUGGUGAGGUAAUGGCUCACCAAGGCGACGAUCCGUAGCUGGUCUGAGAGGAUGAUCAGCCACACUGGGACUGAGACACGGCCCAUACUCCUACGGGAGGCAGCAGUGGGNAAUAUUGCACAAUGGGCGAAAGCCUGAUGCAGCCAUGCCGCGUGUGUGAAGAAGGCCUUAGGGUUGUAAAGCACUUUCAGCAGUGAGGAAAGGUUGUAGCUUAAUACGCUAUAGCUGUGACGUUAACUGCAGAAGAAGGACCGGCUAACUC
rnacentral:rRNA from 1 species